GUGCGGAUGUUGCGCCAAAACGCAACGUCAAGUGAACAUAUAUACCCAUACCCUCCGGACAAAUUAGCAGUCGGCGGCCUACUGACUUCAGCUCCUUUGGCUGGGAACUGUCUACAGAUUGAUUUUGUCUCAGAGGACAGAAAUGGCGACGAAGAUGCCAUGGAUCCUUUCGACAAUGCUCGCUUCCAUCUCCACUAUUCUGAUGUUCGUCACUAUGUUUAUUACUAUCAACCUCUCAAGAAUAUUUCCACCUCUACGAAGACAAUUUCGGGAAACUUGGAAACCUAUCCUUGAGGGAUCAUCUAUUGAGGAAGGAGAAUUAUUUGAUAGCUUACUCUGUCUGGGAACCUGGAAAUAUAUCCUGACUGAGAUGUGGAACCGCCGAUUUCCGGAUCAGGAACUGAAUGACAAAGCGUGUAACCCUUUCGUCUGGUCAGCAGACGGCAAAA